CUCUCUCUCUCUCUCUCUAUGUAUGCAUGUAUCUGAAACUAGACCAAUUUAUGAGUUAAAAUUACUGUCAUGGAAACAUAGUGAAUCUUUUUACAACUUGUGUGGCCUAUUGGUGACUCUAUGAUAGUGUGUUUGCUUUUCUAUAACCUUAUGAAAAACUUAGAAAAUUUUACAUAUGAUAUGCUCAUGAUCAAAUUGUGCUGAUGCUACAAAAUAAAUAAAUGUAUUAUUUACAUAAGCAAUUUGAUUUGGUCAUAGUUUUCCAUUACAUUUAAUAUAUAUGCUAGAUAAGAGAAAUUCAAAGGAAAACUUGUAAUUUUGGACGCUGAAAGCAAGUAAUCAGUAACAUCUUUUUAUUCUGAUGGUUAAUACUGUUAAAGGGGUCAUCUUGGCAUUUGUAUAAAAUACCUGUAAUUAGUAUUGUACUUUUAGGAAUCUGACUUGAGCAGCCAUUUCGUUGAUAUCAGGUCGAUGGAAGUGUUUCAAAAG
rnacentral:misc_RNA from 1 species